AUACUUACCUGGCAGGGGAGAUACCAUGAUCACGAAGGUGGUUUUCCCAGGGUGAGGCUCAUCCAUUGCAUUGCGGGUGUGCUGACCCCUGCGAUUUCCCCAAAUGCGGGAAACUCGAUUGCAUAAUUUGUGGUAGUGGGGGACUGCGUUCGCGCUCUCCCCUU
rnacentral:snRNA from 1 species